AAUGAACGUUGGCGGCGUGGAUUAGGCAUGCAAGUCGAGCGGACCCGCAAGGGUUAGCGGCGAAAGGGACAGUAAUGUGCAGAUACGUACCCUAAGGACCGGGAUAGCUGCGGGAAACUGCAGGUAAUACCGGAUAACAUCUUCGGAUCAAAGGUGUGAUUCCGCCCUAGGAUCGGUCUGCAUCCUAUUAGGUAGUUGGUAGGGUAAUGGCCUACCAAGCCUCUGAUGGGUAGCGGGUGUGAGAGCACGACCCGCGUCAUUGGGACUGAGACACUGCCCAGACACCUACGGGUGGCUGCAGUCGAGGAUCUUCGGCAAUGGGCGCAAGCCUGACCGAGCGACGCCGCGUGUGGGAUGAAGGCCCUAGGGUUGUAAACCACUGUCGUAGGGGAGGAAAUGCAGGUGGGUUCUCCCAUCUGUUUGACCUAUCCUAGGAGGAAGUACGGGCUAAGUUCGUGCCAGCCGCCGCAGUAAAAC
rnacentral:rRNA from 1 species